AAAAAAUAAUUCACUAAGAGAAAAGAUUACAAGGUGAUUACCGACUCGACGGACUCGACCUCUCUUAAUCUUUUACGAAUCUCGCGCAAUCCUCCGGGUUGUCCACGCCCUCACGUUUGAAUCCACGAACGCCUCCACUUUGAAUCCACGAAGCUUCUAAUACGCCGAAUCCACGACGGCACUCGAAUCCACGAGCCAACGAUCUGAAUCCACGAAUCGCCUUCAAUUAUGCCGAAUCCACGACACCGUUCACGAAGAGCAUCAUCCUAU
rnacentral:lncRNA from 1 species